rnacentral:rRNA from 1 species
UGUCAGUGCGGGCAAGUUGCAUGGAAAUGCACGCCGUGGAGGGUGAGAGCCCCGUCCAACCCACACAGGACACGCCGUACGAGAGCGUUUCAGGCGAGUCGGGUAGCUUGGGAAUGCUGCUCUAAUCGGUGGUAAAUCUCAUCGAAGGCUAAAUAGCGGCUGGAGACCGAUAGCGAACAAGUACCGUGAGGGAAAGAUGACAAGCACUUUGAAAAGAGGGUGAAAAGAGCCUGAAACCGUCAUGGGGGAAGCGGAUCGCGUUGGCCUGGUGGGCGCCUGUGUGUUCAGCCUUCGGGUGCAUUGGCACAGGUGCUUAUCCGCUGUGGGUUUUCGGGGGUCGAUUUUGGAUCCCUGGAGGCUGAGGGCUCCCUUCGGGUGAGGACAGCGGAGUGACGACGCGAUACGACCCGUCUUGAAACACGGACCAAGGAGUCUAGCGCGGGUGCGAGUCGGAGGGUGCAAGCCCGUGGGCGAAGUGAAAGCGAGUGUAAAAACGAGCAGUUUGGGGCGGCAUAAGAUCGUUGAUCUCAAGACCGACCCAGAGCAGUUGCGCUGGGACCCGAAAGAUGGUGAACUAUGCCGGAGUAGGGCAAAGCCAGAGGAAACUCUGGUGGAGGCUCGUAGCGGUGCUGACGUGCAAAUCGCUCGUCCAACUUGGGUAUAGGGGCGAAAGACUAAUCGAACCAUCUAGUAGCUGGUUCCCUCCGAAGUUUCUCUCAGGAUAGCGGGCCGACAAGUUGUUUUGUGCGGUAAAGCGAAUGAUUAGCGCACGUGGGGCCAUUUCGGCUUCAGGCGAUUCUCAAACUUUAAAUGCGCAAGGGUGUCGCUGCUUAAUUGAGCGGCACCGCUAAAAACGUCGGCCCUGUGGGCCACUUUUGGUAAGC